UGUGUACUCCCUCCGUUCCAAAAUACUUAACUUCCAUUUGUCCAAAAAUGGAUGUACCUAUAUACUAAGACAUGUCUAGAUACAUAUAUAUUUUGACAAAUAGAAGGCAUGUAUUGUGCAACGGAGGGAGUAGAAU
rfam:Triticum aestivum genome assembly, contig: Triticum_aestivum_CS42_TGACv1_scaffold_211702_3AS